AGAGUUCGAUCCUGGCUCAGGAUGAACGCUGGCGGCGCGCCUAACACAUGCAAGUCGAACGGCACCUAUCUUCGGAUAGAAGCGAGUGGCGAACGGCUGAGUAACACGUGGAGAACCUGCCCCCUCCCCCGGGAUAGCCGCCCGAAAGGACGGGUAAUACCGGAUACCCCGGGGUGCCGCAUGGCACCCCGGCUAAAGCCCCGACGGGAGGGGAUGGCUCCGCGGCCCAUCAGGUAGACGGCGGGGUGACGGCCCACCGUGCCGACAACGGGUAGCCGGGUUGAGAGACCGAACGGCCAGAUUGGGACUGAGACACGGCCCAGACUCCUACGGGAGGCAGCAGUGGGGAAUCUUGCGCAAUGGGGGGAACCCUGACGCAGCGACGCCGCGUGCGGGACGGAGGCCUUCGGGUCGUAAACCGCUUUCAGCAGGGAAGAGUCAAGACUGUACCUGCAGAAGAAGCCCCGGCUAACUACGUGCCAGCAGCCGCGGUAAUACGUAGGGGGCGAGCGUUAUCCGGAUUCAUUGGGCGUAAAGCGCGCGUAGGCGGCCCGGCAGGCCGGGGGUCGAAGCGGGGGGCUCAACCCCCCGAAGCCCCCGGAACCUCCGCGGCUUGGGUCCGGUAGGGGAGGGUGGAACACCCGGUGUAGCGGUGGAAUGCGCAGAUAUCGGGUGGAACACCGGUGGCGAAGGCGGCCCUCUGGGCCGAGACCGACGCUGAGGCGCGAAAGCUGGGGGAGCGAACAGGAUUAGAUACCCUGGUAGUCCCAGCCGUAAACGAUGGACGCUAGGUGUGGGGGGACGAUCCCCCCGUGCCGCAGCCAACGCAUUAAGCGUCCCGCCUGGGGAGUACGGCCGCAAGGCUAAAACUCAAAG
rnacentral:rRNA from 1 species